rnacentral:lncRNA from 1 species
CUCCCGUUGCCCUAGCAACGGGCCACGGGGCACAGUGUAUGUGAAAUGCAUGAACAUCUGUGAAUUAAUCUUUUUUAGUUUGUUCUUUUCUUGGCACUGAUUGGACCACUCGGGCUUGUGCCUGUGACACUGCGUGCAGAGGGGUAAUCUGGAGCAGUCCCCAGGGCCUUGCCCUAAAGUGGAUAGUGGAAUGGAAAGUGA